rnacentral:tRNA from 1 species
UAGGUUAGAAGUUUCCUAAACUUUUGAUUCGGGUUCGAUUCCCGACGAGGGUA